UACGUAGGGGGCAAGCGUUGUCCGGAUUUAUUGGGCGUAAAGAGCGUGUAGGCGGCCAUACAGGUCAGCUGUGAAAACUCGAGGCUCAACCUCGAGACGUCGGUUGAAACCGUAUGGCUAGAGUCCGGAAGAGGAGAGUGGAAUUCCCGGUGUAGCGGUGAAAUGCGCAGAUAUCGGGAGGAACACCGACGGCGAAGGCAGCGCCCUGGACGAGACCUGACGCUCAGGCACGAAGGCUGGGGGAGCAAACAGG
rnacentral:rRNA from 1 species